AACAGACUAUAUGCUGUGAGAAUUUUAAAAGCUAUCUCUAAUAGGCUUCAUGCAGUUUCUUGGUAUCAAUAAUGGUGCUGUGGAACUAGAUACAUCUAUUAUGGGUGUCCAGCAAGAAGGCAAGAAGAUAAAGGUUCCCCUUAAUUCAAGUGACAAGCUGUUCAAAGAGAUACGGGACCAGAACUUUGAAGUUGUUGUCCAGGUUCUACGUCAAAAAGCAACUUCUAUGAAGCAAGAUUACUCAGAGAUGUAGACUACGGCUAG